rnacentral:rRNA from 1 species
UACGUAGGGGGCAAGCGUUAUCCGGAUUUACUGGGUGUAAAGGGAGCGUAGACGGAUUAGCAAGUCUGAUGUGAAAGGCAGGGGCUCAACCCCUGGACUGCAUUGGAAACUGCCAGUCUUGAGUGCCGGAGAGGUAAGCGGAAUUCCUAGUGUAGCGGUGAAAUGCGUAGAUAUUAGGAGGAACACCAGUGGCGAAGGCGGCUUACUGGACGGCAACUGACGUUGAGGCUCGAAAGCGUGGGGAGCAAACAGGAUUAGAAACCCGGUCCGGCUGACUGACU